GAUGAACGCUGGCGGCGUGCCUAAUACAUGCAAGUCGAGCGAACGGACGAGAAGUUUGCUUCUCUGAUGUUAGCGGCGGACGGGAGAGUAACACGUGUAUACCCUCCCUAUAAGACUGGGAUCACUUCGGGAAACCGGCGCUAAUACCGGAUAAUAUUUUGCACCGCAUGGUUCAAAAGUGAAAGACGGCCUUGCUGUCACUUAUCGAUGGAUCCGCGCUGCUUUAGCUAGUUGGUAAGGUAACGGCUUACCAAGGCAACGAUGCAUAGCCGACCUGAGAGGGUGGUCGGCCACACGGGAGCGGAGACACGGACCAGACGCCUGCGGGAGGCAGCAGUAGGGAAUCUUCCGCAAUGGGCGGAAGCCUUACAGAGCAAGGCCGCGUGAGAGAUGAAAGUCUUCGGAGCGUAAAACCCUGUUAUUAGGUAUAAACAUAUUUGUAAGUAACUGUGCACAUCUUGACGGUACCUGAUCAAGAAGCCACGGCUAACUACGUG
rnacentral:rRNA from 1 species